CUGCACGUCGAACGCACAGCGAAAGGUGCUUGCACCUUUCAAGUGAGUGGCGAACGGGUGAGUAACACGUGGACAACCUGCCUCAAGGCUGGGGAUAACAUUUGGAAACAGAUGCUAAUACCGAAUAAAACUUAGUGUCGCAUGACACAAAGUUAAAAGGCGCUUUGGCGUCACCUAGAGAUGGAUCCGCGGUGCAUUAGUUAGUUGGUGGGGUAAAGGCCUACCAAGACAAUGAUGCAUAGCCGAGUUGAGAGACUGAUCGGCCACAUUGGGACUGAGACACGGCCCAAACUCCUACGGGAGGCUGCAGUAGGGAAUCUUCCACAAUGGGCGAAAGCCUGAUGGAGCAACGCCGCGUGUGUGAUGAAGGCUUUCGGGUCGUAAAGCACUGUUGUAUGGGAAGAACAGCUAGAAUAGGGAAUGAUUUUAGUUUGACGGUACCAUACCAGAAAGGGACGGCUAAAUACGUGCCAGCAGCCGCGGUAAUACGUAUGUCCCGAGCGUUAUCCGGAUUUAUUGGGCGUAAAGCGAGCGCAGACGGUUGAUUAAGUCUGAUGUGAAAGCCCGGAGCUCAACUCCGGAAUGGCAUUGGAAACUGGUUAACUUGAGUGCAGUAGAGGUAAGUGGAACUCCAUGUGUAGCGGUGGAAUGCGUAGAUAUAUGGAAGAACACCAGUGGCGAAGGCGGCUUACUGGACUGUAACUGACGUUGAGGCUCGAAAGUGUGGGUAGCAAACAGGAUUAGAUACCGUGGUACUCCACAUCGUCAACGAUGACCACUACGUGUUAAGAGGUUUCC
rnacentral:rRNA from 1 species